CUUGCCACUUUGUGGUUCAUGACUGGGGUGAAGUCGUAACAAGGUAGCGCUAGGGGAACCUGGCGCUGGAUCACCUCCUUACACGA
rnacentral:rRNA from 1 species